CAACCUGCCCACCACUUGGGGAUAACCUUGCGAAAGUAAGACUAAUACCCAAUGACGUCUCUAGAAGACAUCUGAAAGAGAUUAAAGAUUUAUCGGUGAUGGAUGGGGAUGCGUCUGAUUAGCUUGUUGGCGGGGUAACGGCCCACCAAGGCGACGAUCAGUAGGGGUUCUGAGAGGAAGGUCCCCCACAUUGGAACUGAGACACGGUCCAAACUCCUACGGGAGGCAGCAGUGAGGAAUAUUGGUCAAUGGACGAGAGCCUGAACCAGCCAAGUAGCGUGCAGGAUGACGGCCCUAUGGGUUGUAAACUGCUUUUGUAAGGGAAUAAAGUGAGUCUCGUGAGACUUUUUGCAUGUACCUUAUGAAUAAGGACCGGCUAAUUCCGUGCCAGCAGCCGCGGUAAUACGGAAGGUCCGGGCGUUAUCCGGAUUUAUUGGGUUUAAAGGGAGCGUAGGCCGGAGAUUAAGCGUGUUGUGAAAUGUAGACGCUCAACGUCUGCACUGCAGCGCGAACUGGUUUCCUUGAGUACGCACAAAGUGGGCGGAAUUCGUGGUGUAGCGGUGAAAUGCUUAGAUAUCACGAAGAACUCCGAUUG
rnacentral:rRNA from 1 species